rnacentral:rRNA from 1 species
UACGAAGGGGGCUAGCGUUGUUCGGAUUUACUGGGCGUAAAGCGCACGUAGGCGGUUUGUUAAGUCAGGGGUGAAAUCCCGGAGCUCAACUCCGGAACUGCCUUUGAUACUGGCAAGCUAGAGUCCGGAAGAGGUAAGUGGAACUCCUAGUGUAGAGGUGGAAUUCGUAGAUAUUCGGAAGAACACCAGUGGCGAAGGCGGCUCACUGGACCGGCAUUGACGCUGAUGUGCGAAAGCGUGGGGAGCAAACAGG